UACGUAGGGUGCAGGCGUUAAUCGGAAUUACUGGGCGUAAAGCGUGCGCAGGCGGUUUCUUAAGUCAGAUGUGAAAGCCCCGGGCUUAACCUGGGAACUGCGUUUGAAACUGGGAGACUUGAGUGUGGCAGAGGGGGGUGGAAUUCCACGUGUAGCAGUGAAAUGCGUAGAUAUCUGGAGGAACACCGGUGGCGAAGGCGGCAUCCUGGACCGGCAUUGACGCUGAGGCGCGAAAGCCAGGGGAGCAAACGGG
rnacentral:rRNA from 1 species